rnacentral:rRNA from 1 species
GGUGGAGCGAUUUGUCUGGUUAAUUCCGAUAACGAACGAGACUCUGGCCUACUAACUAGACGUUAGAUCCCUUUGUGGGUCUAUCGCAGCUUCUUAGAGGGACGGGCGGCGUUUAGCCGCACGAGAUUGAGCAAUAACAGGUCUGUGAUGCCCUUAGAUGUCCGGGGCUGCACGCGCGCUACACUGGCAAAAUCAACGUGCUUGUCCUUCCCCGAAAGGGGCGGGUAAACCAUUGAAAAUUUGCCGUGAUUGGGAUCGGAAAUUGCAAUUAUUUUCCGUGAACGAGGAAUUCCAAGUAAGUGCGAGUCAUCAGCUCGCGUUGAAUACGUCCCUGCCCUUUGUAC